GAGCGCCGUGUGCGGCGAAAGUCGCAAGCACGGUGCGAAGUGGGGGAAAACCCUGCCUGACUACUUCGCCUGACGGCGAAGCAAAAGCGCAGGGUUACCUAUCACUAU
rnacentral:ncRNA from 1 species